rnacentral:lncRNA from 1 species
AUGGGGUGGAAUGGGCAAGAGGUAGCGAAAAGAGCCCCUAAGUUUUUUAGAUUACUUUGUGUUGGGUAUUUUAAGCGCAAACAAAAAAAUGUAAGUGCACGGAUACAGAUGUAGCUUUCACUCGGGAGUAUUGCAAGGUAUUGAUUUUCCAUAGGGAACACAAAGUGUAGUAGUUGAGUUUAAAUCGCCCAAGGCUAACUAUAUAUAUGAUUUUGUAGGGAG